ACUGGGCGUUAAGUUGCAGGGUAUAGACCCGAAACCCGGUGAUCUAGCCAUGGGCAGGUUGAAGGUUGGGUAACACUAACUGGAGGACCGAACCGACUAAUGUUGAAAAAUUAGCGGAUGACUUGUGGCUGGGGGUGAAAGGCCAAUCAAACCGGGAGAUAGCUGGUUCUCCCCGAAAGCUAUUUAGGUAGCGCCUCGUGAAUUCAUCUCCGGGGGUAGAGCACUGUUUCGGCAAGGGGGUCAUCCCGACUUACCAACCCGAUGCAAACUGCGAAUACCGGAGAAUGUUAUCACGGGAGACACACGGCGGGUGCUAACGUCCGUCGUGAAGAGGGAAACAACCCAGACCGCCAGCUAAGGUCCCAAAGUCAUGGUUAAGUGGGAAACGAUGUGGGAAGGCCCAGACAGCCAGGAUGUUGGCUUAGAAGCAGCCAUCAUUUAAAGAAAGCGUAAUAGCUCACUGGUCGAGUCGGCCUGCGCGGAAGAUGUAACGGGGCUAAACCAUGCACCGAAGCUGCGGCAGCGACGCUUAUGCGUUGUUGGGUAGGGGAGCGUUCUGUAAGCCUGUGAAGGUGUACUGUGAGGUAUGCUGGAGGUAUCAGAAGUGCGAAUGCUGACAUAAGUAACGAUAAAGCGGGUGAAAAGCCCGCUCGCCGGAAGACCAAGGGUUCCUGUCCAACGUUAAUCGGGGCAGGGUGAGUCGACCCCUAAGGCGAGGCCGAAAGGCGUAGUCGAUGGGAAACAGGUUAAUAUUCCUGUACUUGGUGUUACUGCGAAGGGGGGACGGAGAAGGCUAUGUUGGCCGGGCGACGGUUGUCCCGGUUUAAGCGUGUAGGCUGGUUUUCCAGGCAAAUCCGGAAAAUCAAGGCUGAGGCGUGAUGACGAGGCACUACGGUGCUGAAGCAACAAAUGCCCUGCUUCCAGGAAAAGCCUCUAAGCAUCAGGUAACAUCAAAUCGUACCCCAAACCGACACAGGUGGUCAGGUAGAGAAUACCAAGGCGCUUGAGAGAACUCGGGUGAAGGAACUAGGCAAAAUGGUGCCGUAACUUCGGGAGAAGGCACGCUGAUAUGUAGGUGAAGCGACUUGCUCGUGGAGCUGAAAUCAGUCGAAGAUACCAGCUGGCUGCAACUGUUUAUUAAAAACACAGCACUGUGCAAACACGAAAGUGGACGUAUACGGUGUGACGCCUGCCCGGUGCCGGAAGGUUAAUUGAUGGGGUUAGCGGCAACGCGAAGCUCUUGAUCGAAGCCCCGGUAAACGGCGGCCGUAACUAUAACGGUCCUAAGGUAGCGAAAUUCCUUGUCGGGUAAGUUCCGACCUGCACGAAUGGCGUAAUGAUGGCCAGGCUGUCUCCACCCGAGACUCAGUGAAAUUGAACUCGCUGUGAAGAUGCAGUGUACCCGCGGCAAGACGGAAAGACCCCGUGAACCUUUACUAUAGCUUGACACUGAACAUUGAGCCUUGAUGUGUAGGAUAGGUGGGAGGCUUUGAAGUGUGGACGCCAGUCUGCAUGGAGCCGACCUUGAAAUACCACCCUUUAAUGUUUGAUGUUCUAACGUUGGCCCCUUAUCGGGGUUGCGGACAGUGUCUGGUGGGUAGUUUGACUGGGGCGGUCUCCUCCUAAAGAGUAACGGAGGAGCACGAAGGUUGGCUAAUCCUGGUCGGACAUCAGGAGGUUAGUGCAAUGGCAUAAGCCAGCUUGACUGCGAGCGUGACGGCGCGAGCAGGUGCGAAAGCAGGUCAUAGUGAUCCGGUGGUUCUGAAUGGAAGGGCCAUCGCUCAACGGAUAAAAGGUACUCCGGGGAUAACAGGCUGAUACCGCCCAAGAGUUCAUAUCGACGGCGGUGUUUGGCACCUCGAUGUCGGCUCAUCACAUCCUGGGGCUGAAGUAGGUCCCAAGGGUAUGGCUGUUCGCCAUUUAAAGUGGUACGCGAGCUGGGUUUAGAACGUCGUGAGACAGUUCGGUCCCUAUCUGCCGUGGGCGCUGGAGAACUGAGGGGGGCUGCUCCUAGUACGAGAGGACCGGAGUGGACGCAUCACUGGUGUUCGGGUUGUCAUGCCAAUGGCACUGCCCGGUAGCUAAAUGCGGAAGAGAUAAGUGCUGAAAGCAUCUAAGCACGAAACUUGCCCCGAGAUGAGUUCUCCCUGACCCUUUAAGGGUCCUGAAGGAACGUUGAAGACGACGACGUUGAUAGGCCGGGUGUGUAAGCGCAGCGAUGCGUUGAGCUAACCGGUACUAAUGAACCGUGAGGCUUAACC
rnacentral:rRNA from 1 species